rnacentral:snoRNA from 10 species
AUUGGCAGGAAUGAUGAAUCAAUUAGAUGUACGAGGUUACCUUAUGAGCUAAAAUUUUGAGGCAUACAAUUGUCUGACUUGCCAAU